rnacentral:misc_RNA from 1 species
AAACUGCGAAAAGUAAUGUGAACUGCAUGCUUUGUGAAUCAUCGAAUCUUUGAAUGCACAUUGCGCCCCGUGGCUCCGCCACCAGGCAUACUUGUUUGAGUAUCAAGCAUCUUCCCGCGCUCCUUUCGGCGCGCGGCACGUGAGAUCCAGACGCGGCGCAGCCGCAGCUGCUUCUUCAAAGCCACGGACGGGGAGGCCGCACGCGCGGCCGCACCGAGAGUCUCGCACUACAUUGCUGGGAUAAGGGAACUUUGUUUCAGCAAGUUUGCGGGGCAUGCAGGGAGCCGGCCACAGCGUCGCCGCUGCCCGGCAGCACGACAACGAGCGCGCCGCACGACACGAUGUGCGGCCGCUCGGCAGCUGAUCUCAAAUCAAGCAAGAGUACCCGCCGAACUUAA